AUGGGCUCUUCUCCAGGCUUUGUGAUUACUAUACUCCUCGUACUCGGAAGAACCCAUGGGGAAUCAGUGACACAGACGGUAGGUCAAGUGACCCUUUCAGAAGAGGAUUUUCUUACUAUACACUGCAACUAUUCAGCCUCUGGGUACCCAGCCCUGUUCUGGUACGUGCAGUAUCCCGGAGAAGGUCCACAGCUCCUCCUCAGAGCCUCGAAGGCCAAUGAAAAGGGAAGCAGCAGAGGAUUUGAAGCUACAUAUGAUAAAGGAUCCAGUUCCUUCCACUUGCAGAAAGCCUCAGUCCAAGAGUCAGACUCGGCUAUGUACUACUGUGCUCUGAGUGACACAGUGACAGAAACCACAGGGGGAGCUGAACACAAACUGAGCACCAGAAGCCUGACUGCUGAGCUCCUGCUUCUGGGUAGAACAAGAAGUAGAGUCUUCCAUUCUCAGCUCUUGACUGAGACUAAAGCAAAUUCUGAAGCAAAAGCUGUGUGA